rnacentral:rRNA from 1 species
GAUGAACGCUGGCGGCGUGCCUAAUACAUGCAAGUCGAGCGAACGGACGAGAAGCUUGCUUCUCUGAUGUUAGCGGCGGACGGGUGAGUAACACGUGGAUAACCUACCUAUAAGACUGGGAUAACUUCGGGAAACCGGAGCUAAUACCGGAUAAUAUUUUGAACCGCAUGGUUCAAAAGUGAAAGACGGUCUUGCUGUCACUUAUAGAUGGAUCCGCGCUGCAUUAGCUAGUUGGUAAGGUAACGGCUUACCAAGGCAACGAUGCAUAGCCGACCUGAGAGGGUGAUCGGCCACACUGGAACUGAGACACGGUCCAGACUCCUACGGGAGGAAGCAGUAGGGAAUCUUCCGAAAUGGGCGAAAGCCUGACGGAGCAACGCCGCGUGAGUGAUGAAGGUCUUCGGAUCGUAAAACUCUGUUAUUAGGGAAGAACAUAUGUGUAAGUAACUGUGCACAUCUUGACGGUACCUAAUCAGAAAGCCACGGCUAACUACGUG